rnacentral:lncRNA from 1 species
UGCUCAGUGUUCCCAUUCUGAAUCCUGUGAUUUGGUUGCUUAGUGACAGAGGAACACUCAGUCUGUCUGAAGCUGACAAGGAGCCUAGAGAGAAACUCAGCAAGGUGGAGUCUGUCUGCAUUUGUGAAAAUCAGCCAUCACCUACAGCAAUACUCAGACCUGGCAUUUAUAAGGCAGUUUUCAUCUAUAGAUCUCAACACAGUUUACAAAGGACAGGUAAGCAAGCUAAGGACAAGACAACAAAAUUUUCCAAAAAAAAAUCAUGCAAGGAAAGAAGAAAGAGAAAAUUAAAACAAAAGACAGUUCACUUUCUGACAUUUCCAUUCUUGAAAAGUUUAUGAAAACCUAUGAAAGGCAUUGUGCCUUUUCCCAAAGCUCUGUCAGUGGCAUGAUCAAACGGAGCUUAAGAAAAUGCAUAGAAAAUGAAACUAUUCUUACAAAGUUUGUGCUCACAAACUCUCAGAAUUCCCAGCCAGUCUUCCUCACACCUCUAUUAAGGACAAUUAGAGAUGAACGGUAUAUGUUAGGAAAAGAACUCUGUAUCUGGGGAAUUCAGCUAAACAAUCAAGACAUUGCAAACCUUGCAAUGCUUUUAGAGCGGAAUGGACGUACCAACUAUCCCUUUUGUACUCUAGAAAUAACUCAUGCUCAGAUAGAUGCAUGGUCCAUGGAGCGACUUGGAGCAGCUUUCCCUUUCAGCAACUUGAACUCCAUUGUUCUAGAUUAUACCAAGUUUGGAGAUAAAGGAAUCAACGGACUUGUUUCUGGGUUAGAGGGAAACAGAAAGCUUCUAACCCUCAGCUUAUGCUACUGCAGUUUGGAACCUGAAAGUGGGUCCAAGUUAGGCCCCAUUGUAGCCCAAACUGCCAUUUGCAAUCUUUAUCUAAAUGGUAACAACUUGCAAUGUUUGGGUGCCCUUGAGCUCAUCACACCAAUAGCUAUGUAUGCAGACAAUCUUGGAAGAGAUAAGGAGACAAAUGCCUUACUAUUCAACAAUUAUUCUGAUCAUCAAAUACCAGAAGCAGACAAGGGUUUGGGUAUCCAUUCAACAGCUUCUGGCUUGAACGUUGCUUCCAAAACAGGAAACUCUAACACUGUGGAAAGUAGUAUGAGGAAGGAAAAGAAAAGAAAAGGAACUAAAAAAAAAGAAAAGAAAACUGAAGUUGGCCCGUGGUUAGUUAAAUUGCAUUUGGCGGAUAAUGGCAUAGAUGGAAGAGGAAAGGGAGGAGAAAAGAUGGUCUUGGAGUUCACUCAGUUUUUAACUUAGUAAGUUAUAAGUAAGAGAGGUGGGGGUGCCUUUUUUUCUUUUACUAGAUUCAGAAAUGUAUGUUUGGAGAAUGUCUGUCUGUUUUUUGAUCCAAAAUGAGUACUAGUAACUAUUGGCUUUGGCCCUCAAAUAUUCUGCAUGCCACAUCUCUGAAGUGUGUCCGUAGAGUAUAGUGUGAGUGCUCUGACUCUAUUUGGAAGGAUCUUAGAAAUACAUACAUCUAAGCUCUCCCCAGAUUCAGUUUUGCUAUCAAAGCUCCUAGAGUAUCCAGUGAUUUCACCUCAACGGGAUGAUGUUUCAGUUUUGAUUAAGAGGUGAAAAAAGACAAAGGACAGAGAUGUUUAUUCUGUAAAAUACCAUAUUGACUGGAUACUAACUCUUCAGUCUCUGCUCCCUAGCUCUCAAAGAUUUUUGGCCAUUUGAGAGACAGGCAUGUCAACUUCACUCUAAGACGAACUGCCAGUGUCCUAGUGCCCCCCAAUAUGUUCUGUUUCUUUCCCCUUCUGACUGCUAUCAGCAUUUAAAAAAAUAACUUGAAGAAAAUGAUUACACAGGUUUCAAGUUGGACCUCAUUAAAAUCAACUAAAAAUAGAUAUAAAGGGCAGAACAGGGGGAGGAGACACAGAGCUCCUUUCUACCACCCUCACAUGCAAAAGACAUGAUUGCAUUCUUGGACUGGGGAACCAGAUGCCACAUGGAAAACCUUCCCACAGGGUACUGCUUUCCAGUUUGAAAAAGGCCUUCUUGACUGUCAUAUAGGCUAGAUCAUCCACUGAGGCCCCCCCUGGGUAAACAGCGGGGUAGAGUAGCACUGAACUGGUGGAAGUCACUGGCUAAGCACUAGAACCAGUUUGUUGAAAUGCUCAAUCAGCUUUUUACAGCAGUAGCCGCUUCUGCAGGUACAGAGGAUAUUUUCUUCAUUUCAGUUUAUUCAGCUACUUCAGUUCAAUGACUAUUUUAUUCAAAGUUAAGAAACCUAUUGGGAGUUGAAAAAGCAGGAAAGCUUGUUUUCCAGUCUGUGAAUACAAACUAAGUGUGAGAGGAUGAGAUCUCGUUCUAAAAUCUUGAAGGACACAGUGACCAAAAAUAAACUAAAGCCACUUCCUUUGCUUAAUAAAUCA